UUUUUAAAUUUUUAUUUAAAUUUUAUAAAAGUUUUGUUAUUUUAAAAAAAAUAAGUUAAAGUUUUAUUAUAUAAAAGAAAAAAUUAUUAAUAAUUAUAGAGAAAUAGUAUUGUAAAAGAAAGAUUAAUUAAUUUUAAAAGAAAAUUUUAUUUAUUGUACCUUGUGUAUCAGGGUUUAUUUAAUAAAAAUUUUAUAUUAAGUUUUCUCGAAUUUAAAAGAGUUAUAUAAAUAAUUUUUUUAUUGUGGAAUAAAUAUUAUAAAUAUUUAUAUAGAUGUGAAAUGCUAUUCGUUUUUAAAUAUAUCUAGUUUUUUAAGAAAUAAAUUAAAUUUAGUAUUUUUAAAAUAUUUAAUUAAAUAAUUAAUUUAAUAUUUGUAAAUAUUAAUAUUUUAAGGGAUGAGCUUUAAAAUAAAUUUUUAAAAAUUUAGUGUAAAAUUUUAAUAUGUAGGAUUAUAAGUUUUUAUCAUUUAAAUAGUGUUAUAACUAAUUAAAUUUUAAAUUUUAUUUUUAUUAAAUUUUAAAUAAUUUAUUAAAAUAAUUUAAUUAAUAAAAAAUUAAAUGUAAUUAUGAUAAAAUUAGUAUAAUUUUAUGUAAAUUAAAUAUUUUAAUUGAAAGGUUAUAUAAAGGAAUUCGGCAAAUAUAUUUUUCACCUGUUUAUUAAAAACAUGGCCUUUUGAAUAUAAUUUAAGGUCUAACCUGCCCAAUGAUUUUAGAUUAAAUGGCCGCGGUAGCCUGACCGUGCAAAGGUAGCAUAAUCAUUAGUUUUUUAAUUGAAAGCUGGAAUGAAAGGUUGAAUGAGAAAAUAACUGUCUCUAUUUAAGUUUAUUAGAAUUUUAUUUUUAAGUAAAAAAGCUUAAAUUAAUCUAGAAGGACGAGAAGACCCUAUAGAGUUUUAUAAAAUAAUAUUAUAAAAAUUUUUGGAAUUUAAUUUUUUUAAGAUAUUUUUUAUUUGAUUGGGGUGAUUGAAAAAUUAAAAAAACUUUUUUUAGUUAAGAACAUUUAUGUAUGAAUAUUUGAUCCUUGUUUUAAGAUUAAAAGAGUAAAUUACCUUAGGGAUAACAGCGUUAUUUUUUUUGAGAGUUCAAAUCGAAAAAAAAGAUUGCGACCUCGAUGUUGGAUUAAAAUUAAUUUUUGGUGUAGAAGCUAGAAAUAUUAGGUCUGUUCGACCUUUAAAAUUUUACAUGAUCUGAGUUUAAACCGGCGUGAGCCAGGUUGGUUUCUAUCUCUAGAAUAUUAAUAUAAUUUUGUACGAAAGGACCAAUUAUAUAAUUAAUAAUUUUAUAAAAGAAUAAUAUU
rnacentral:rRNA from 1 species